UGGCGGCGUGCUUAACACAUGCAAGUCGAACGGAUGAAGCCCUUCGGGGUGGAUUAGUGGCGAACGGGUGAGUAACACGUGGGUCAAUCUGCCCUGCACUCUGGGACAAGCCCUGGCAAACGGGGUCUAAUACCGGAUACGACCUGCCGAGGCAUCUCGGCGGGUGGAAAGCUCCGGCGGUGCAGAUGAGCCCGCGGCCUAUCAGCUUGUUGGUGGGGUAAUGGCCUACCAAGGCGACGACGGGUAGCCGGCCUGAGAGGGCGACCGGCCACACUGGGACUGAGACACGGCCCAGACUCCUACGGGAGGCAGCAGUGGGGAAUAUUGCACAAUGGGCGAAAGCCUGAUGCACGACGCCGCGUGAGGGAUGACGGCCUUCGGGUUGUAAACCUCUUUCAGCAGGGAAGAAGCGAAAGUGACGGUACCUGCAAAGAAGCGCCGGCUAACUACGUGCAGCAGCCGCGGUAAUACGUAGGGCGCAAGCGUUGUCCAGGAAUUAUUGGGCGUAAAGAGCUCGUAGGCGGCUUGCUCGCGUCAGAUGUGAAAGCCCGGGGCUUAACCCCGGGAUCUGCAUUCGAUACGGGCAGGCUAGAGUUCGGU
rnacentral:rRNA from 1 species